UGGGGAAUAUUGCACAAUGGGGGAAACCCUGAUGCAGCGACGCCGCGUGAACGAAGAAGGUAUUCGUAUCGUAAAGUUCUGUCCUAUGGGAAGAUAAUGACAGUACCAUAGAAGAAAGCUCCGGCUAAAUACGUGCCAGCAGCCGCGGUAAUACGUAUGGAGCGAGCGUUGUCCGGAAUUAUUGGGCGUAAAGGGUACGCAGGCGGUUUAAUAAGUCGAAUGUUAAAGAUCGGGGCUCAACCCCGUAAAGCAUUGGAAACUGAUAAACUUGAGUAGUGGAGAGGAAAGUGGAAUUCCUAGUGUAGUGGUGAAAUACGUAUAUAUUAGGAGGAAUACCAGUAGCGAAGGCGACUUUCUUGACACAAACUGACGCUGAGGUACGAAAGCGUGGGGAGCAAACAGG
rnacentral:rRNA from 1 species